rnacentral:lncRNA from 1 species
ACUUUUACAAUAAUAUGUUUAUUCUUAUAAAAGUAUCUUGUUAGUGUUUUUCUAAUAUACAGUAAUAUAAUUUUAAAAUACAGUAAUAUAAUUUAUGUUUUUUAUUAUUUUUUUUAUUGCUUUUUUUUUAGUUACAUAGGUUGUUGUACGUAAAGCAGAACUGAUUUGAUAACUGUUAUUUUUAUUGACUGUUGACAAUUUCAAGAUAUUUUUUUUUUUUUGAUUAUAUAACUUUUUUGUUAUCUUUAGGCCAAUUUGCACAGACUACAGCUGUAUCUACCUCUUGUACUACACCUGUAUCUACCUCUUGUGCUACACCUGGUAAGUUAAACAACUAUUAGUUUUUAAUGUGCAAACUUUAUAAUAUGUUUAACUUUAGUUCCUUAGUCAUCUUUUGCAACUAGUAAUUUAAUAA